rnacentral:rRNA from 1 species
UACAGAGGGUGCAAGCGUUAAUCGGAUUUACUGGGCGUAAAGCGCGCGUAGGUGGCCAAUUAAGUCAAAUGUGAAAUCCCCGAGCUUAAAUUGGGAAUUGCAUUCGAUACUGGUUGGCUAGAGUAUGGGAGAGGAUGGUAGAAUUCCAGGUGUAGCGGUGAAAUGCGUAGAGAUCUGGAGGAAUACCGAUGGCGAAGGCAGCCAUCUGGCCUAAUACUGACACUGAGGUGCGAAAGCAUGGGGAGCAAACAGG